AUCUGAAUACUAUUUAAUUCAUUAGACGUUUUGCAUACCAUUUUUAAUGUUCUGCUUAUAUAAAGGAGAUUUCUAGCAUCAGAUUGCUUUGGCUAAAGCUAAAUUUUAGAGAGGCUCACUUUCUUGCAUGUUUAGUUAUCUUCAUACUAUUGUAACCAUAUUUUGAAAUUUCAGAAAAACAAACAACAGUAAUAUUCCUCGAGAAACCUAUAAUAGCCUUGCUGCAUUUGAUGUCUCUCCAAAUGAGUUGAAUUACAAUUUCCAUCAUCUUCCAGCCAUAUGGCUGGAGCUAUUCUGACUGAGUAGAAUUGAGUUUAUUAUUCUCUACAUUUCCCUGGCACAAGCCUGAAGAAGACUGGGAUAUCACUUUCUUAGGUUGAAGCUUUGAUAGAAUGACAAUUAAAGUGAACAAAAGAAGCUCUUAGUUGGAUUGUUAAGGGAAAGGGUGAGGAUUUUUAAAAAUAACUUUUCUUCCUUUAUAGGCAGUCUUUCCAAGUACUCAGACAGAAACUGAAAAGGUUGAAAAAUCAGGAACUGUGCUGGUGGAAACUGGGCCAGUAUCUUAUAAUCAUGAGGAGGAUGUGGAAGAGGAAGAAAUUGAAGAGGAGGAGGAUCAUUGCGUGAGCGCCCUUAAACUAAUGGGAGGAAAUGAUUAUGGCUGUGAUAUGGAAGAUGACGAUGGGUAUUAAGCCUUUGUGUCUCCAAAUGGAAAUUGUGGGAGAAGCCACUGGUAGUAAAAACAACUCUUCCUGCCUCGGAAACAAAGGUUCUGUUUGCUGCGGAUUCCUCUCAGUUUCCCUUGACCAACAGGCAGGCACUGGAGCUUGACUUUUGAAUACUUGAAAUGUUUCUGAUUUGGAUCAUGACAUAAGAAAAAGAUUAACUGAAGCAUCACUUCCAGAGAUGAAAGAAGAGCCAAAUCGCUACCCAAACUUCCUUUGGACUUACCAUGUCCUGGAUUCAAAUAUAUAUAUAUUUGAAUCAGCACAAAUACAACAUAUAUAUAUAUAUAUGUAUGUAUGUUAUAUUUGUGCUGAUAAAUAAAUAAAGGGAGACUAGUAUAGAUAUAUAUAUAUGUAAAAUAUGUACAAAGAAGAAGAAUUGUUACAGAAUGCUAGACUUUUGUGUGAACAUAUUUGAGACUUGAACUUUUUUUUUAAUUAAACAUUUUUGAGUUGCAUUGUUUACAUUAAUAGGAUCCUCAAAGCAGAAGUUUGUUUCUGCUAUAACAUCCAUAUUUUCAUGCUUCAGGAAUGGUGAAUCAUAUCAAAAGGGGCAGACAGCUUCCUCUGGAAACAAGUUCAAAUGUAUUCUUUGUUUGUUUGUUUGUUUGUUUGUUAAUAUUAUCCUAGGAUCAGACCAUUGCUUGCCUGUAAUCUCUAUGUCAGUAUAAGACAGCAGUUAUAUUUCUUGUUUUUAAUUCCUUAGAAAAAGUUGCUGUAUUAGAGCAGAGACCUCAUGGGUGUUGCUGUUGUUCAAAGCUUCUUUGCAAGGCGAGUUUUUUGGUGUUCCAAAAAAAUUAAGCUUGGUGUAAGCUUCUUUUACACUCACAGCUACUAUUAGAGACAAGGCAAGCAAAGGCUAGGCUGAGGACAGAAGGAAGGAAAGCUCAACAAGCUAACAUCUGACACUCUUUUAUUUCUGCCUGAGGACCAUUUCACAAGCUUUUAUGCCCCAUCCCAGGUUUUUUUUUUUUUAAUUGUUAAAAACAAGAUGAUAUCUCAGGGCAAUUUCUGUCCUCUUGGCAGAAGUGUCAGAUUUCUCUCCAAGAUAAUGUCGUUGUUUUUUUUUAAGCAAGUAGUUUGAACUAUUUUUAUUCUCUUUGAUGUAAAGUAAUUUUAUAUUUUGUAAUGAUGUCAUUAAGGAUGUAUUUAUAGCUCAAUAGUGGAAGAGGCUCAUCUAUCACUAUUUUAUCAGUUGAUCAGCUGGUAUAACUAGCACCCUGAGAAAUAUAAAACAGACUAGUAGUUUACCCACUUAAAUUGUGUAAGACAGAUUUUUCUUGAUUCUCAUACUCCCUGGACUAUAAAUUAGCUCUGGUUCCUGUGACAUUUUUGUACCACUACAUUUAUUUGUUAUUAGAAGCAGAAGCAUUAAUAACACUUUUCAUAUUUUGUUGAACAAACAAAGUAGCUUUAUGGAAAAUAGUUUUUUCCUGUUUAAAUGAAAGACACCCAAUUUUCAUGUUGAUCUUUAUAUUAGCCAAACUACCUCUUUUUGCCACUGCUUAACUAUACCAACUCAAAGUGGGAUGAUGCUUUUAUUUCAUCCACUUGAAGAAUGAAGUGGAAACCAAUUUUUUCCCUUUGUUUCCAAGACCAAGAUCUCAAAUGACAAACUGUGUCUUAAAUAUACUGCUUCAGUUUGCAAAUUGGAAUUCCCAUGAGGAAAUGGCAUUCCAUGCAAAUGAUCCUUUCCAGAUAGGCAACUUAGCAUAGUAGAGAGAAAUGCUGGCCUUUUUUUUUUUUUUUACACAAAGAAGCUUUCAAUCAAUGAACACUUCACACUUAGACUGGCAUACUUGGGCCAGUACAGAUUUAUCACCUUAUUAAAUUAAACUCAAGGUGCUGGUUAAAAGGUUAGCAAUAUGUACAAUAAGAAAAAAAAUGUGGCUAGUCCAGUGAACUAUUCCUGUGUGAGGAGCAUUUAUCUUGGCACUGAAUUACUAUAUUAGUACUUGUAAAAUUACAACUCUUUUUUCAAUAAUACUUUGUCCACUUUUACUCUGAAAAAGAUUGUUAUGGUAACAUAAUUUAUUCAUUGCUAAAGGAACAAGGAAAACAAAUGCUUUUUUGUAAGCACUGAAUUAGGAGUUUGCCAACAAUUAGCUUGAGCAGCUGCUGCUUUGCCUGAUGGCAGGAGAUGAGAAACCUGUAUCCCUCCAGAAGUUGCUGAACUACAACUUUUGGCAGCCCCAGCCAGCAUGGCCAAUGAUGAGGGAUGCUGGAGGCUGACACCAUCUGGAGGACCACAGGUUUUGCAUCUCUGUCUCAUGAGUUCAUUUCUUUCCAAACAGAUGUUCCCAAAAAGGUAAUACCUCUAGUCACUGCAUUUGAGAAAAUGAAAGUCUUCUUAGAAUAGAAAUUGCUAUUGCUUCAAAGAAAGUAUGUUGGCAGAGGGGGAAAAAACCUACACGCAUAUGAAAUUCAUAAUUUUGGAAUCAGAUGUAACUUAAUAAUGUUUGUGUCCCAGAUCAAUUUCAUAAUAAUCACAUCAGACACCCAAUUGUACCCAUGUGGUUGGGUUCUCCAUGCAGCCUGGCAAGUGUCUUUUUCUGGUGUAGUUCUUCAUAGCACAGAUUGACCCCAUGGAGUUGGCUAUGCAUUGUAACCAGUUCAAUUACAGAUCUGAAGUACAAGUUACAAAACUGGAAGGGGUGGAGCCAGGACAUCAUGAAUAAACAUGCAAUAGACCCUUCAUAAUCAGAGUCUGAGUGGAUCAGGGUUGGCCUUCAACUAUAAUCUCACUUAAGCAUUUUUAUUCUUGUUGGGUUGCAAAGUAAGCCACAAAAGAAGUAGAAUUGGGAGUGAAAUCAUUCUUGUAGGGACUUGUAAUAUUAAACUCUUUAUCCUAUUUAAUUUUCUAAUAAAAAUGCUGUUUUAAGGAA